rnacentral:tRNA from 1 species
GUCCCGGUAGCUCAGUCGGUAGAGCACAUGACUGUUAAUCAUGGGGUCGUAGGUUCGAGUCCUGCUCGGGACG